UAUCAAUAUUCACCCAUCCAGGAAGGUUAUCGGGUGAAGCCAAAAAGAGAGAUUUGUCUCUUGAGGAAAUUAAGGCUGCCCAAACUUAUAUUCUUCUAAAUUGUCAAGAGGUUGAGCCGUUUGUGAGCAUGUAUGUGCAACGUUUGCAAGAAGAGUUUCCGAAUCUCUCUCAAGAUCAAAUAGAUGAGAGUCUCGAAACAUAUUUUUCUGUAUGGUUCAAGGAAUAUGUUCGAUCCAACCAUAUUGAAAAUGAAUACUUGCGUAGUCUUGCUCAUGGACCAUUAAUAAGUGUGUAUUCUUAUCCAGUGUGUUUUGUUAAUGGAUACAAAUUUCAAACAGUA